GAUGAAGAACGCAGCGAAAUGCGAUAAGUAGUGUGAAUUGCAGAUUUCAGUGAAUCAUCGAAUCUUUGAACGCACAUUGCGCCCUUUGGUAUUCCUUAGGGCAUGCCUGUUCGAGCGUCAUUUAAACCUUCAAGCUCAGCUUGGUGAUGGGUGACUGUCCGCUGCCUCCCCCCGGGGUGCGCCGCGGACUCGCCUCAAAACGAUUGGCGGCCGGUACGUUGGCUUCGAGCGCAGCAGAAACGCGUAACUCGAGAUCCCCGUGGCGGCUCCCAGAAGCAACCUUAUUAUUUUGACCUCGGAUCAGGUAGGGAUACCCGCUGAACUUAAGCAUAUCAAUAAGCGGAGGA
rnacentral:misc_RNA from 1 species